rnacentral:misc_RNA from 1 species
CAAAACACCCUCCAGAUCCUUACUCUUGGGUACCCUGUCAUCACCAUCCAAAGGGUCUCCAUCAUCACCUCGAGAAAUAACUCGCCCAGCAAACAGAACCCCUUUUGGAUCAAGCACUUUAGCCAUCUCUGUUGCAUAUAACUUAUUUCCCAUUGUGUACAGAUGCAAUUCAUAGAGCUCACUGGCCUUUUCCAAGAAGUUCCAAACCCCAGGACGUAGUUUUG